UCUCUCUCUCUCUCUGCUGUCACUCACAUAUCGAAGCUCUCUGCUAUGUGGAUUUGUUAGCCAACGCUGGACUCUUAAACCUAGAAAUUCCAUUUCACUCUCCCCAAUUUCACACCCUAAUCCUUCUCUCGAACUCUUUCCCACCACACCUCACCUUGCAAUCGCACCGCUCGAUUCGCACCCUUUCGUGCUUCCUCAUCGCUUCAAUCUUCUGUAAGUUAUAUCUCCCAAAUAAUUCUGUAUAUAAAUUUUCUUAGUUCCCAAUUUUAAAUUUUAUGUUAUUUUUGUUGUUGGCAAAAUAGCAUCAAAUUUUAGGUCUUUUUAUUAUAGUCAAUUAUUAUGUCAGUGGUGUGGUGGUUCAACGAAAUAUACCCGACGGAGAAGAAAAAUUGAGAGCUAUAUGUACACUUUGUGGCCGGAUUGCUUUUUGAGUAUUUGAAUCAUAGCAAAUGACUAAAACAAAUUAGGAGACAGCUGUUGUUUAUCUCUUUUUGAUUUUAUGUUUAUAGAGUCAACCUCAUUUAAUGUGGAAACAGGAUUAUAUAACAAUCUUAUGAAUUUGAAUUUCGCAUUGAAUAUAUUGCUCAUGAACCAAGGGAUCAUUCAGAAGAUGAAAAAGAGACUACAAAUAAUAAGGUAACGAAAUUUGAUCAAGACAUAAAUUGUGACAUUUUGAUUUUUGUCCAAAAUAUUUGUGAUGAAACAUGAAAGUUUUUGAGUUGUUUAUUUGUCUGACAUUAUGUUUGUUUGACAAACUUUUUCUUUAUGUUUGUUUGACAAAGCAAUGUUUGCUCUUGUAGCUUAUUUUCUUUGUGUCUUAAAUCAUCCUACCUGCAAUUCGUGUAGCUCCCAUAACAGCUUUGAUGAAACGAAG
rnacentral:lncRNA from 1 species